rnacentral:tRNA from 1 species
GUGGGUUGUGGCUCAGCGGUAGAGUGCUCGCCUCGCACAUGUGAAACCCUGGGUUGGAUCCUCAGCACCACA